CAGUAGCCACGGUAAUACGAAGGGUGCAAGCGUUACUCGGAAUUACUGGGCGUAAAGCGUGUGUAGGUGGUUGUUUAAGUCUGUCGUGAAAGCCCUGGGCUCAACCUGGGAAUUGCGAUGGAUACUGGGCGACUAGAGUGCGGUAGAGGAUAGUGGAAUUUCCGGUGUAGCAGUGAAAUGCGUAGAGAUCGGAAGGAACAUCUGUGGCGAAGGCGACUAUCUGGGCCAACACUGACACUGAGACACGAAAGCGUGGGGAGCAAACAGGAUUAGAUACCCGAGUAGUCCCUGUCUCUUAUAC
rnacentral:rRNA from 1 species